CAUAUCCUACGGGGGGCAGCAGUGGGGAAUAUUGCACAAUGGGGGAAACCCUGAUGCAGCGACGCCGCGUGAAGGAUGAAGUAUUUCGGUAUGUAAACUUCUAUCAGCAGGGAAGAAAAUGACGGUACCUGACUAAGAAGCCCCGGCUAACUACGUGCCAGCAGCCGCGGUAAUACGUAGGGGGCGAGCGUUGUCCGGAUUUACUGGGUGUAAAGGGUGCGUAGGCGGGUAAGCAAGUCAGAAGUGAAAUCCAUGGGCUUAACCCAUGAAUUGAUUUUGAAACUGUUUAUUUU
rnacentral:rRNA from 1 species